UACGUAGGGGGCUAGCGUUGUCCGGAUUUAUUGGGCGUAAAGAGCGUGUAGGCGGCCAGGUAGGUCCGGUGUGAAAACUCGAGGCUUAACCUCGAGAUGUCAUCGGAAACCAUCUGGCUAGAGUCCGGAAGAGGAAAGUGGAAUUCCUGGUGUAGCGGUGAAAUGCGCAGAUAUCAGGAAGAACACCAAUGGCGAAAGCAGCUUUCUGGGACGGUACUGACGCUGAGACGCGAAAGCGUGGGGAGCGAACGGG
rnacentral:rRNA from 1 species